UGCCUCAUAGUGGGGAUAACAGUUGGAAACGGCUGCUAAUACCGCAUAAGCGCACAGCAUCGCAUGAUGCCGUGUGAAAAACUCCGGUGCUAUGAGAUGGAUCCGCGUCUGAUUAGCUAGUUGGUAGGGUAAGAGCCUACCAAGGCGACGAUCAGUAGCCGGCCUGAGAGGGCGACCGGCCACAUUGGGACUGAGACACGGCCCAGACUCCUACGGGAGGCAGCAGC
rnacentral:rRNA from 1 species